AACGAACGCUGGCGGCAGGCUUAACACAUGCAAGUCGAACGCCCCGCAAGGGGAGUGGCAGACGGGUGAGUAACGCGUGGGAACAUACCCUUUUCUACGGAAUAGCUCUGGGAAACUGGAAUUAAUACCGUAUACGCCCUACGGGGGAAAGAUUUAUCGGGGAAGGAUUGGCCCGCGUUGGAUUAGCUAGUUGGUGGGGUAAAGGCCUACCAAGGCGACGAUCCAUAGCUGGUCUGAGAGGAUGAACAGCCACAUUGGGACUGAGACACGGCCCAAACUCCUACGGGAGGCAGCAGUGGGGAAUAUUGGACAAUGGGCGCAAGCCUGAUCCAGCCAUGCCGCGUGAGUGAUGAAGGCCUUAGGGUUGUAAAGCUCUUUCACCGAUGAAGAUAAUGACGGUAGUCGGAGAAGAAGCCCCGGCUAACUUCGUG
rnacentral:rRNA from 1 species